CCGUGGUUGAUAUUGAUAGUGUGUGGUGAAACCCAACACUAAUAGAAGAAAAAUAACAAACAAAUUAAUAGAAUAAAAUCAUAACAAAUUAGGAAAAAAAGAAAUUAAUAAAACCUACUUCGUCAUACUUCGAAAAUUUCGAUGAACAGCGGAGGCAAAGCUCAGUUCGCACGGAGAUAUCGACGAACACGUCUUCCCCUAACCUUGCUCUCCUUCUCUCUAUAGCCUAAACCACAACCACAGUCGCGCGGAUCAGAGUGUUCGGAGGGAGGAGUGCCGAGAAAUUAGAGAUGCGUGGUGUGGGAGUGCCGAGAAAUUAGAGAUGCGUGGUGUGGGAGUGCCGAGAAAUUAGAAAUGCGUGGUGUUGAUGCUGCUUUAGACACGAAGGAAGAGGCGAAGAGCGGAGUGUUUGGAACUUCAGAGACGAAGAACGGGAGAGAAACGAAAUGAAGGAAACUGUUGAAAUGAAAUUAGGGAAAUGUAAAAAAUUAGAAAGGAGAUAUUAGAACUGAUUUCUAAAAGUGCGUUAUAAUA
rnacentral:lncRNA from 1 species